CUUGUACACACCGCCCGUCACACCAUGGGAGUGGGCUGCAAAAGAAGUGGGUAGUUUAACCUUCGGGAGGACGCUCACCACUUUGUGGUUCAUGACUGGGGUGAAGUCAUAACAAGGUAGCCCUAGGGGAACCUGGGGCUGGAUCACCUCCUUAAACGA
rnacentral:rRNA from 1 species